UGCCCUGGCAAUGGGCAAAGAAACGCCUUGGUGGUGGUGGUGUUCUCCUAUCAGUCAAGAGCAGAUGGCAGUCCUUUGUUCAUCCUAGCUUGAUGCCUGGCUUGGUGGCCAAAGCUGCUUUAUGCUUAGGACACAGCA